AGUGAACGCUGGCGGUAGGCCUAACACAUGCCAGUCGAACGGCAGCACAGUAAGAGCUUGCUCUUACGGGUGGCGAGUGGCGGACGGGUGAGGAAUACAUCGGAAUCUACUUUUUCGUGGGGGAUAACGUAGGGAAACUUACGCUAAUACCGCAUACGACCUACGGGUGAAAGCAGGGGAUCUUCGGACCUUGCGCGAUUGAAUGAGCCGAUGUUGGAUUAGCUAGUUGGCGGGGUAAAGGCCCACCAAGGCGACGAUCCGUAGCUGGUCUGAGAGGAUGAUCAGCCACACUGGAACUGAGACACGGUCCAGACUCCUACGGGAGGCAGCAGUGGGGAAUAUUGGACAAUGGGCGCAAGCCUGAUCCAGCCAUACCGCGUGGGUGAAGAAGGCCUUCGGGUUGUAAGGCCCUUUUGUUGGGAAAGAAAAGCAGCAGGUUAAUACCCCGCUGUUCUGACGGUACCCAAAGAAUAAGCACCGGCUAACUUCGUG
rnacentral:rRNA from 1 species